rnacentral:rRNA from 1 species
GACGGAGGAUGCAAGUGUUAUCCGGAAUCACUGGGCGUAAAGCGUCUGUAGGUGGUUUAAAAAGUCCACUGUUAAAGAUUGAAGCUUAACUUCAAAAAUGACCGUGGAAACUUUUAAACUUGAGUAUGAUAGGGGUAGAGGGAAUUUCCAGUGGAGCGGUGAAAUGCGUAGAUAUCACUUGGAACGCCAAAGGUGAAAACAAUCUGCUGGGGAUCUGCUGACGCUGAGACACGAAAGCCAGGGGAGCGAACGGG